UACUAGUCUCAAACUCAGAGAUCCACUUGCC
rnacentral:piRNA from 1 species